CCUACGGGUGGCUGCAGUGGGGAACAUUGGACAAUGGGCGAAAGCCUGAUCCAGCCAUGCCGCGUGUGUGAAGAAGGCCUUCGGGUUGUAAAGCACUUUCAGUGGGGAAGAAAGCCUUGGGGCUAAUACCCUCGAGGAAGGACAUCACCCACAGAAGAAGCACCGGCUAACUCCGUGCCAGCAGCCGCGGUAAUACGGAGGGUGCGAGCGUUAAUCGGAAUUACUGGGCGUAAAGCGCGCGUAGGCGGUCUGAUAAGCCGGUUGUGAAAGCCCCGGGCUCAACCUGGGAACGGCAUCCGGAACUGUCAGGCUAGAGUGCAGGAGAGGAAGGUAGAAUUCCCGGUGUAGCGGUGAAAUGCGUAGAGAUCGGGAGGAAUACCAGUGGCGAAGGCGGUCUUCUGGACUGACACUGACGCUGAGGUGCGAAAGCGUGGGUAGCAAACAGGAUUAGAUACCCCUGUAGUC
rnacentral:rRNA from 1 species